GACAGAGGGUGCUAGCGUUGUUCGGAAUUACUGGGCGUAAAGCGCGCGUAGGCGGCCACUUAAGUCGGAUGUGAAAGCCCCUGGCUCAACUGGGGAAGUGCACCCGAAACUGAAUGGCUUGAAUGCAAAAGAGGGUCGCGGAAUUCCCGGUGUAGAGGUGAAAUUCGUAGAUAUCGGGAGGAACACCGGUGGCGAAGGCGGCGACCUGGGUUGACAUUGACGCUGAGGCGCGAAAGCGUGGGGAGCAAACAGG
rnacentral:rRNA from 1 species